GCAAGAGACAGAUAGACAGACAGGGAUAAGACAGAGCAUGGGAUGGACCAUUCAACAGAGGCAUGGAGCUGUUGUUGCUCUUCCCAUGCACUGCCUCUUCCCUGGCUCUCUCUCUCUUCCCUCC
rnacentral:pre_miRNA from 1 species